rnacentral:lncRNA from 1 species
AUAGCAGCUAUCAUUGGUUUUAACUCUUUUAUGCUUCUUAUGAUGCAGCAGUUAAAGGAGAAUGAUGAGAAGCCCCGUGGAAGAAAUUAGGUGGUGACGUAUGGCUGUGAUCAGUUUGAUGUUGGCCCUCUUCAUUGUCUUGUUCUUCAUCAUCUCCAGCAUCCCACAGAAAUUUAGCAUAUGAUGCAAGCACAUAACUGCACAAAAAAUUCAAUUUUCAACGUAAGACUUCUUCAGUGAGUAUGCUAUAUCACAAACGGGAAAGCACAAACAAACUUCUGAAUAUCUAGACAGUCCAAGUUCCAAAAGAUCCCAGUCACUAUAAUUAACAAAGUCAGCGCCUAAGUAACAAUCAAAGGUACAAUUUAAUCAAAUUCAACCAAUCAUCAGGGGCAGAUUUAACAGCUUGAUCAAAGUAACUCUCAGCUCUUGAAGCAUCUUUAUGAGCUUGCCAUAUUAGAUCCGCAUAGAGUGACAAGAUAUUACCAUCACCUGGGUUAGCCAAAAUUGCUCUUCCACAUAACUCCUCUGCUUUUGCAAAAUCUCCUCUGACCUGUCCAUUCGUAAUCAAAAAAAUCUCAGCAGAAUUCUUUUUUUUAAAAUAUAUAUAUAUAUAUCCACAAAACUAAUAACAUUACCUCUUUCAAGAACCUGGCAUAAUUUCCAAGCAACAAAGCGUUUCCAGGAUUUGCUUCUAUCAUCUUCUCAUUAUAAGCAUCAGUGCUACUACUCCCAUGAUUGUUAUUACUAUAAUUAUUAUUACUCCCAGAAAACCCCGACCCCCCACCCCCACCACCAACAUCUCCGCCGCCACGGCCGCCGCAUAUUUUCCCGCCAUUAUUUCCCAAACCGCCACCCAUGACCAUUGUUUGCACAUAACUACCACCAUCGUCUUCAACUUCACAGCCUUCUUUUUCAUCAUCAUCAUCAUCCUUCUUGUUCUUGUAAAAUGGAAAAUGAUCGCGCCCCUUAAUUUGUAGGGUUAAUCGCACAAUAACAUUGCAUUGAGUUCUUUUUUUUUUUUUUCCUUUGAAAUUAAUAGUACAUGAGAAUUAUGAAACAGAAAAUUAUGCAGAUUAAUUACGUAGUAAUUAAACAAAAAAAAGUUGUUACUUAGCAAUUAACUACGGACUAUGGCAAAUUACUUUUCGAUCAAUUGUUAACAGCUUCAAUCAUUUUAUUGAGAUAAAAAUAAUUAUCGAAUCCCAACCGAUAAAAUAUUGUAAUUCUUUUUUAACAUUAAAAAGUGGCACCAAACUACAAAGUGAAAUCAGAUGCUUUUUGAUUGGUUGUGGGAUCUUGACCCUUAUCAUGAAGUCUUAAUUUCACGGACAGCCAUCGUCCUCUAAAACUCAUUCGAGCGAAGAAGACAAGAUUGGGGGUAGCUUUCAUUAGUGGCUUUAUGAUUAGAUGCAACACCUUGGUAUUAAUUUAUUAUGAUCAUGCAAAUCUCAGUUGAGCAAAUUGUAUGAUUAAAUAAUUGAUUGAGCCACUAAUUUAUAAUAUAGCUGAUCGUAUUAUUAAUUUGGCUUUAUCUCAUCCAUCCAUUAAUUGCAAAUUAAGCUAGUGGUUGUAAUUUGUAAAGCAGCAGUGAAGGAGCUUUCACAGUUCACAUGCACUAUGUUGUGCAUCAAAUAGAUUCACGCUAAUAUUAAAAUAAUCAACUUGUAAACAAAAGAUAUAAAUUGUUGCAUUAGAGACGGAUAUCCUAGAUUUCAGGUCCGAUCAUAAUUGGCACAGAUUCUCUCAUAAUCUAAUUUUUUUCAAAGGUUUAAUUUUUUAUUUUUAUAAUCAAUUAGCAUCCAAAUACACUGAUGGGUAUAUGAGAUAAGGUUCUAACCUAAAUUAAGUAACAGUGUUACUUACUGAUGCAAUUCAAAGAAAAUGAAGGUUGAGUAAGAGUUCAUCUCACCCAAAAAAAAUUUCCAAGAAAGGAUAACGAAAGUCUGAAAACUCAAAAUGUGAACAGGGAAAGACAUCCAAGAAAGGACACACAAACACUGAAGUUGGUGGAAACUACCGUGAUAAAUUUGGUAUUUGGAGUCAAUCACAUGUAACGCACAUAGCUAAGAAACAAAGAAAGUGAAAGAAACUAGAAAGGACAAAACGCAACCACACAUGGAUUAACGUCGUUGUAAUUAAAGUCUUGGUUGCAGUCGCACAAUCAACUGCAUUACCUGCUUUUCCAACUUUCUCUUCCUUUUUUCUAUCUAGAGAAAGCGAAAGGAUUGGCUUCUAUUUCCUCAAAAUAGGGGAAAAGCCAAAGACCCCAGCUAUGCAGACGCAUUUGUUUCUGCAACACAAUUGAGGUCAGUUACCAUGUUUCCAAGUUUCUUUUAAAUCUUUUUGCUUUUGCUCCAUUUUGCUUAAAGAAAAGAUUUUUGACUCUUUGAUUCACGCAGCUUGUAAUUUGACUGAUUCUUUAUUUAGAGGGUCUGCAGAACAAUUGCUCUUCAUAUAUUUUAUCAGUCUUUUUAUGAUUUUUUUGUGAUUUAAUUUCAAUACACUUUGUUCUACGUCAAAGUUCUCCUGCAAAUGUUUAAAUUUUAAGAAAUAUAGCAAAAUCUGUAAUUUUUUUUUAUUAUUUUGAGCUAAUUUUUGGUUGUAAGUUGCUCUUGUGUUUAUUUGGGAAAGUUGAGUGCGUUUUUGCAGUUAAAGAAAUUAUGGGUUUAUUUAGAUACACGGGGGCCUUGUGUUUUUGUCUACUCCUUGUGUUCAAAACCUGCAUUGCUGGCUCCCAACGUAUUGGAAAGCUUUAUCCUGGGUUUGAAGCAACCCAGAUGGAGUGGAUCAAUAACAGCGGGCUAUUUCUAAUCUCUAAUAACUCGGUUUUUGGUUUUGGCUUUUAUACUGCCUUGGAUGUUCAAUUCUUUUUGCUGGUUGUUAUUCAUAUUAGUAGCGCAAAAGUAGUUUGGACUGCCAAUAGAGGCUUGUUGAUUAGAGAUUCUGAUAAGUUUGUGUUUGAGAAAAAUGGGAAUGCAUAUUUACAAAGAGGAAAUGGUGAAGCUUGGUCUGCAAAUACUUCAGGACAGAAAGUUGAAUGCAUGGAAUUGCAGGACUCAGGCAACUUGGUAUUGCCCGGGGUAAAUGGAAGUAUUCUUUGGCAGAGUUUUAGCCAUCCAACUGAUACCCUUUUACCUGGCCAAGAGUUUGUGGAAGGGAUGAGGCUUAAAAGUUUUCCCAAUAGCAAUAACAUGAGUGUUUAUCUUGAAUUCAAGUCGGGCGAUUUAGUCUUGUAUGCAGGGUAUCAAACUCCACAAACGUAUUGGUCCUUGGCUAACGACAGCCGGAAAACCAAUACCAGUGUAUCUGCCAAGGUCCAUUCUGCUUCUUUGGUGUCCAAUGCGUGGAAUUUUUAUGAUAUUAAAAAGGCAUUGCUUUGGCAAUUCAUCUUCUCAGAAAACAAUGAUGAGAAUGCUACCUGGGCUGCCAUUUUAGGCUCUAAUGGGGAAAUUACGUUUUCUAAUCUUCGUAACGGAAAGGCAGCUACUUCUGAGGCAAUCAAGAUCCCGCAAAUUUCUUGCAGCGUUCCUGAGCCUUGUAACCCGUAUUUUGUGUGCUAUUUUGACAAUUGGUGCCAGUGCCCUACUUCCCUCAGAUCUCAAUUGAACUGCAGACCUCCAGUUGCUUCAACAUGCAAUGUAUCCAUGAAUUCGGCAAAGCUUUUCUAUCUGGGUGAAAGGCUUGAUUAUUUUGCACUUGGGUUUGUAUCACCCUUUCCGAGAUAUGAUCUUAAUACAUGCAAAGAAGCUUGCCUACAUAACUGCUCCUGCUCUGUGCUGUUCUUUGAAAAUAGUACGAAGAAUUGCUUCUUGUUUGAUCAGAUAGGUAGUUUGCAACGCUCUCAGCAGGGUUCUACUGGUUAUGUUUCAUAUAUGAAAAUAUCAAGUGGAAAUGAGGUCUUAAACUCUAAAAGUCGAGAAAGUGAUGGAGGGAAACCCAUCGUACUAAUUGUUGUCAUAGUUGUUGCAACUAUACUUGUAAUUGCCAGUCUACUUUAUGCAGGACUCUGGCACCACAACAAAAGGAAGAGAUUAACAAAAUUUUCUCAAGAAGACUUGGAAGAGGAUAACUUUUUGGAAAAAAUUUCAGGUAUGCCUACUCGUUUCAGUUACGAUGAUCUUUGUAAAGCAACUAAAAACUUCUCGACAAAGCUCGGACAAGGAGGGUUUGGCUCAGUCUAUCUAGGCAUGCUACCAGAUGGUAUCCAAGUGGCAGUCAAAAAGCUGGAGAGCAUUGGGCAGGGGAAGAAGGAAUUUAGCGCUGAAGUCACAACAAUUGGGAAUGUACAUCAUCUUCAUCUGGUCAAACUCAAAGGCUUCUGCAUAGAGGGAGCUCACAGGCUUCUUGCUUAUGAGUACUUGGGAAACGGGUCUUUGGAUAAAUGGAUCUUCAAUAGUACUGAGGAAAGUCGGUUUUUGAGUUGGAAUACAAGAUUUAAUAUUGCAUUAGGCAUGGCAAAGGGAUUAGCUUAUCUUCAUGAGGAGUGUGAGGUAAAGAUUGUUCAUUGCGACAUAAAACCUGAGAAUGUUCUUCUCGAUGAUAAUUUCACCGCCAAAGUUUCAGAUUUUGGUUUGGCUAAGCUGAUGAACCGUGAAGAAAGCCUUGUAUACACGACACUGAGGGGUACACGGGGGUACCUUGCACCAGAAUGGAUAACAAACAAUCCUAUUUCAGAGAAGAGUGAUGUAUACAGCUACGGUAUGGUCUUGCUAGAGAUCAUUGGGGGCAGGAGGAGUUUUUCUGUGGGGGAUGAUUCAGAGAAAGCUCGAUUUCCUUCCUAUGCCUUCAAGAUGCUAGAAGAAGGUAACCAAAGAGAAAUCCUUGAUCCAAGGCUAGAUAUGGAUGAAAAUGAUGAGAGUAUUGCUACUGCAAUUAAAGUUGCAUUGUGGUGCAUACAAAAUGAGAUGCAGUUGAGACCACCGAUGACUAAAGUUGUCCAAAUGCUUGAAGGUCUCUGUCCGGUACCUCAGCCUCCAACCCCUUCUCAGUUGAAUUCAUGGGCUUACUCAAGUUUCUUUAAGUGGAGCAGUGAAGAGGGUACUUCUUCAGGAGUAGUUGAUGACAAUAGUAGUGCAUUUUUGUCAGAAAUUCAAUUAUCAGGCCCAAGAUGAUAGAAACAAUACUAUAGACAACAAAUGGAAGUAUCUUCACUCAACUGUGGAAGGUUCCAUAAAAGAAACUUUCUAGUUUUCUGAUCCUUUAUGUGCAAAUUCUUAAAUAUGCUUACAAGUUCUUACAAAUUAGCUUUAGUGAAUAUGAGCUUUUAGUCUUGCCUUUUGGUGAAGUUUCCGAAUUCCGAUUACAAUAUCAUUACUAUAUGUUAUCCUUGUUCUACUUCUGGUUUCGAAAAAUGGCUAAUGAUCUCUGAUUUAAGGUACCGGUAGUAGUUUGGACUGUUUGCGACAGAUGAAAUGGAAACUGUCCCAUUUAAUCUUAGUUCGAUUCAUUUAAACUUGAGGAGAUUAAUAUUAGCUUCUAUAAUUUUCCUUCCCCCAGUCCACCUUCAAGUUUUAUUAAUGUUUGGUAUCAACGUCUCCAGAUUAUAAAACGAUUGUUCAUACUAGUAUUCUAUUACAUCUAAAAUUGAUCUUGUUAUUUGAUGUGUUUCUACUAUUUUGUGACAAUCCCAUAUAUAACAUAUGCAGAAAAUAUUUUUAUGAUUAUUAUAUAGAGAUAUUUAAUCAAAUUUCAAGUAAGUAAUCAAUUGAGAAGACAUAUCACAUCAGAGAUUCAAAAGCAAGACGAUUACUACUAAAACCAUUUGCCAUUUGCUUAAUAUCACACACUGUAAAUUCAAUCAGGAGGAUCCAGGAUAGAUCUAGUGUUUCUGUUGCAAUUUAUGGUAGCUAGAAAACAUUUUCUUUUAAUGGGGUAAAUACAUGUUAAGUUCUUAUAUUUUAACAUAAUAGGCCAUUUAGUUUUUAUAUUUUAAAUAAGGCUAAUGUUAAGUUACAUGCAUGUAACUUAAAGUGAUCCUUUAAAUAAUAUCUCACAAAACCUCUACUGUUAAAAUUAUUAUGAUCCUACCCUUAAUUUUUCUUUCUUUUUAUAAUAAUACUCUUGCAGUAAUAUUUUUCAGAUAUUACUGAAAAAAUAUUAAUUUAUCAAAUUAAUCUUAAAAACAAAAUAAAAAUUAAUGUAAAUUUUUAUGUUAUUAUUUUACUUUAUUAAUUUGGUAAAUUAAAAAUUUAUAUAUAAUUGUUAGUAAGAUUAUUGAAAGGAUAUUAAAUAUUACUUUAAGUUGGCCAAUAUUAAUUUAUUUAUAAAUAAUUAUUAGGAAGAUUGUUGUGAAGGUACAGAAAAUAUUAUUUAUGUUAUAUUGAUACUUAUUAGUUAAUUUGUUAAUAAAUAUUUAUUGGGUCACCUGCUAAUUAAUUUUUUUUAUAAAUAAACUAAUUAAUGUUAAAAGUAUUGUUGUUAGGAUAUUAUUGUAAAAAGAAAAAGAAAAAUAAAGAUAAAAAUGUAACACAAUUAAUAACAGAAAUAUAUUGAAAUACAUUUUCAAACAUAACAACUAAACAAACACGUAAAUUAAAAUUCAGAGAUCCGUCCCUUUUAAUAUCAAUGACCAACAUAUUAAAAAAUUCUCAAUUUGCGAGUAUGAGAUUUUCUUCUUGUUGCUUUCAUAGAUAGUCUUUGCCGAUUGAGUUGUGAUAACAUAAAAUAAUAUGCCAGAUUACAUCACGAAUCAUUUUUUGCUUUUGGCUUCAUUACCCCGGGAAAAUUGUCCCCACGCUUUCACAAUGAGACCAUUCACAAGCUCUUCUGAUGGAGGAUUCUAGUUAAUCUCAAGAGAGAUUUUUAAUGUAUUUUAAAUUAUAUUUAUUGAAGAAAUAUCUAUUGAAUUUGGAACUAUUCACAUCCACCUAAUCUCAAAUGGUUGAUAUUGGUUCUGUUUCCCUACUACCAAAGCCAAUUCUAAGUUCAAUGAUUGAGAUUUUUGCAUCUGCUAAAAUGUUCUUGGAUCCUCAGCUUGAUCUCUAUCUUCCAAUCACUUUCUUGGUGAUGUUAUGAAAAAAAUAACUUGGGAAGAGAUGUCAUUUGUCCACCGAGGCCAUCAUGUAUAUAUCUCAUAAUCACCAAAAACAAAUGACAAAGGAGUCUCUGCAACUCCAUAACUAAUAAUUAAUAAUCAGAGCAUAUCAACUUAUCCUCUUAAUGUAUAUGAAAGAAAAUGAAAUCUAGUGACCCACGUAAAUUGGUUAGAAUGUAACAAAGAAUUUUGAGACAAAAAGUAAAGAAAUGAGAGGACUGAUUCUGUUGGCCAUUCAUUUACCCACUUUCCCUCGUCUGUUCUAGAUUAUUUUAAGACUUAGAGAUGGUUGGACUUCUAACUUAAAAUUAUUGGAAAGAAUGAAGAUCCUGAAAAGUGUCUCUCCAUAAUACAGAAAAAAGGGCAAGUUACAUGGUACAUGGGCUCAUCAUGUAGAAAGAUAGAAAGAUACACAUAUGAUACAUGGUUCGCUCCCUACAUUUUACAUAUUUAGGCAAAGUUAUUGUUAGGAUAUUACAGUGAGAAAGUAACUAUGUUAAUAUUUUUGUUGGCUACGCAUUAGUAAUAUGUUGGCUUGGCUAUCUUACAACUCAUAGCAGCUAUCAUUGGUUUUAACUCUUUUAUGCUUCUUAUGAUGCAGCAGUUAAAGGAGAAUGAUGAGAAGCCCCGUGGAAGAAAUUAGGUGGUGACGUAUGGCUGUGAUCAGUUUGAUGUUGGCUCUCUUCAUUGUCUUGUUCUUCUUCUUCAUCAUCUCCAGCAUCCCACAGAAAUUUAGCAUAUGAUGCAAGCACAUAACUGCACAAAAAAUUCAAUUUUCAACAUAAGACUUCUUCAGUGAGUAUUUAACAAGCCAUAUCACAAACGGGAAAGCACAAACAAACUUCUGAAUAUCUAGACCCUCCAAGUUCCAAAAGAUCCCAAAUUGUUCUGAUCAAAUUCCACUUCAAAGAACCUACAUGGAGUUAUAAAGUUACUACUUGCCCGUUAGGCAUUGACGUGCCGUGGCUUUUAGAAUCACUAACUAUCAAGUAAAAGCUCGACAACUUGUCAUGCAGUCACUAUAAGUAACAAAGUCAGCGUCUAAGUAACAAUCAAAGGUACAAUUUAAUCAAAUUCAAUCAAUGCAUGCAUUCAUAUGGGUUUGAUCCCUUACCAAUCAUCAGGGGCAGAUUUAACAGCU